UAUGAAGAACGUAGCGAAAUGCGAUAAGUAAUGUGAAUUGCAGAAUUCAGUGAAUCAUCGAAUCUUUGAACGCACAUUGCGCCCGCCAGUAUUCUGGCGGGCAUGCCUGUCUGAGCGUCAUUUCAACCCUCAUGCCCCUAGGGCGUGGUGUUGGGGAUCGGCCAAAGCCCGCGAGGGACGGCCGGCCCCUAAAUCUAGUGGCGGACCCGUCGUGGCCUCCUCUGCGAAGUAGUGAUAUUCCGCAUCGGAGAGCGACGAGCCCCUGCCGUUAAACCCCCAACUUUCCAAGGUUGACCUCAGAUCAGGUAGGAAUACCCGCUGAACUUAAGCAUAUCAAUAAGCGGAGGA
rnacentral:misc_RNA from 1 species